UUGGAGGGCAAGUCUGGUGCCAGCAGCCGCGGUAAUUCCAGCUCCAAUAGCGUAUAUUAAAGUUGUUGCAGUUAAAAAGCUCGUAGUUGAAUUUCGGGACCAAUUUGUUGGUCGUGCCCCGGUACGUACUGGUAUUAUUGGUUUCUCCUUUCUGAAGAACCUCGAUGCCAUUAAUUUGGUGUCGUGGGGAAUCAGGACUGUUACUUUGAAAAAAUUAGAGUGUUUAAAGCAAGCAUACGCUUGAAUACAUUAGCAUGGAAUAAUGAAAUAGGACGUUUGAUUCUAUUCUGUUGGUUUCUAGGAUCGACGUAAUGAUUAAUAGGGAUAGUUGGG
rnacentral:rRNA from 1 species